UCUGGACGAGACGUGGCAGUGAAACGCAUAGAAUACCAUGCAAAGAAAGAGGAAGAAACGAUUGGGAACGAAAUCAAGUUUCUUUUGAAACUGGAUGCCAACACCGCCAAAGUCAUCAGGUACUACACAGCAGUAAGGUCUCAUGAAUUCUACUACAUCGCUAUGGAACUUGGCGUUUGUACAGUCAACGAUUACGUGACGAAGAAUGACAAAUUCAUCAGGCUUCGGAACAUUGAUAAAGCCACAAUUCGGAGCAUUGAUGAAGCCACAAUACUCCGUGACUCUUCAGAAGGACUGGAAUGGCUGCAUAAAAGACAAAUCAUGCACCGGGAUAUCAAGCCCGAAAACAUCUUGUUGGUGCGGGACGAGAAAGAUGGCAUCGUGGCCAAGCUCACCGACUUUGGUAUAUCCAAAGAGCUGACAUCGGGCACUCAGGCCAUGACAAGUUGGAAAGGCACUCUGGACUGGAUGGCUCCAGAGGUGCAAGAGAGCGGAGGUCAGGUUGG